CUUGAAACAACAACCAAAAGAGGCAAUCGGCCCUUUAUUUGGUUAGAAAUGAGAACUGUUAUGAUCUCCCUUUGCAUUCUUGCAACUGGUCUUGGUAUAAGCCUUGUGGUAAUUCUCAGCAUGAAGAACCAGAAAGAUCCUCAACAAUUAGCUCUUGAAAAUUUAUGUUUGACAAAAGAUUGCGUUAAAGCAGCGGCAAGACUGAUGGAUGCAAUGAAUACCAAGGUAGACCCAUGUGAUAACUUUUAUGACUUUGCCUGUGGAAGUUGGAAAAGACUGAAUCCAAUUCCAGAAGAUAGUUCCAGUUACAGCACAUUUGAACAACUUAGGAAUCAACUACAGUCCUUACUUAAAGAUCUCCUUGAAUCUGAAAUCUCAGAUGAAGAAAAUAUUUCAAUCCAAAAAGCCAAAAUACUUUAUUCUUCUUGCAUGAAUAAAAGUUUAUUGGAAGACAGAGAUUUGUCUCCUUUAAGGAUAUUCCUGGAUGAACUUGGUGGUUGGCCUGUGGUUGAUAUCAAUUGGAACGAAAGUAAUUUUAACCUCUACAGUCUGAUGUCAAAACUACGCUUGUACAACAACAACAUUUUUGUAUAUAUGUGGGUUUCUACGGAUGAGAAAAACUCCAGUACCAAUAUUAUCCAAAUUGAUCAAGGUGACCUUGGAAUGCCUUCAGCUGACUAUUUUACUUCAAAAGAACAUGAAGACAAAUUGAAUGCCUACAAGAAAUUUGCUGAGAAUGUUGCAAUUACAUUAGGAGCCACUUCUUCCGAGGCUGAAAAGCAAAUAGAAGAAGCGAUUAAACUUGAAAUCCAAAUUGCAAAUAUCACGGAGCCAAGUGAAGGCCGAAGAGACUAUGAAACUAUGUACAAGAAAUUCACCAUUGAAGAACUGACAAAUAAAUUACCUGAGUUUGAUUGGUUAAAAUAUCUAACAGAGACAUUUAGUGCAGCCAACAUCACCCUCACCACUGAACAGCCUGUUGUUGUUUACGCCUUGGACUUUCUAACAAAUCUCGUUCAAAUCUUAAAAGUAACUCCCAAAAAGACUCUGGCUAACUAUCUGGUAUGGAGGAUUAUUAUGAAUCGGGUUAACAAUUUACCCAAAAAAUACAGGGACAUGAAGAAGGAUUACCACGAGAGAAUCUUUGGUCAGCAAAGUGAGACACCAAGAUGGCGGGAAUGUGCAACAUUUGUGGCAGACAACCUGGGAAAUGCUAUUGGACGGCUUUUUAUCGCAAAUUACUUUGACGAAGAAGCUAAGAAAAGUGCCAAAGAAAUGAUCCACAACAUCCGAGAAGCUUUUAAUGAACUUCUACAUGAGGUAGAAUGGAUGGACAGCAGUACGAUAGAAGUGGCACAAGAGAAGGCAAAUGCCAUUGUUGAAAGAAUUGGAUACCCACCUUACAUACUUAAUGACACAGUCUUAACGAAUAUGUACUAUCACGUCGACUACCAAGCAGAUUUUUAUUUUGAAAAUGUACUGACCACUAUCAGAUGGAAUGCUAUGAUUAACUUAAAACAACUUGGACAACCAGUGGACAAUGAAGAAUGGUUAACACCACCAGCUGUUGUCAAUGCCUUUUAUAGUUCCACAAAGAAUGAAAUAUUAUUUCCUGCUGGCAUUCUACAACCACCAUUUUACAGUAAAGGCUAUCCAAAAUUUAUGAACUAUGGUGGAAUUGGAAUGGUAAUUGGUCAUGAAAUAACCCAUGGUUUUGAUGACAAAGGAAGACAAUAUGACAAAGAUGGUAACUUGAAACAAUGGUGGGAUGAUGUCGUGAUUGAACGCUUCAAGAACCAGACUCAAUGUAUGAUAGAACAGUAUGGUAAUUACUUGGUCCCAGAGGCUAACAUGAAUUUAAAUGGUAUAAUUACCCAAGGUGAGAAUAUUGCAGACAAUGGUGGUUUGAAGCAAGCAUUUCGGGCCUAUGAACAUUGGAAGAAGAAAACAGGAGGUAAAGAACAAACACUGCCAGGUCUCUCCUCCUAUACUCCCGAACAAAUGUUUUUCCUCAAUUUUGCCCAUGUUUGGUGUGGUUCAAUGCGUCGAGAAGCUGCCAUUAAUCGAAUUCAGACAAACCAUCACAGUCCAGGAAGAUUUAGAGUCAUUGGUCCACUGCAGAAUUCUCCAGAAUUUUCUCAAGUCUUCAACUGCAAACAAGGAUCCUAUAUGAAUCCAGAGCAGAAAUGUACAGUAUGGUAGUGUGAGAGUGGAUGAUGCUAAAUUUGUGUGGAGUAAUGUAUUGGAUGGUAAUGUGAGUAGGUGGGUGGAGUUAUAUCUGUAUUAGAGUGUGUAAAAUAUGGUAAUGUGGAUGGGUGGAGUUAUGUUUGUAUAAAGUUAUGUAUAGUAUAAAAGUAUGGGUGGAGCUAUAUCUGUGUCGAUACAAUGAGGGUGGGUGGAGUUAUGUUAUAUCUGUGUGGUGUUGUGUAUAAUAUGAUAAUGUGGGUGGAUGGAGUUAUACCUGUAUAGAGUUGUGCACAAUAUGGCAGUGUAAGAGGAGUUAUAUCUGUGUGAUGUUUGUGUACAGUAUGGUAAUGUAAGUGGAAUUAUAUCUGUGUGGUGUUUGUGUAUAACAUGAUGGUGUGUGUGUGUGUGGAGUUAUAUCUGGAUAGAGUAGGUGUGCAGCAUAGGAUGGAGUUAUAUAUCUGUUGUCUGUUGAUGUUGAUGUUUCAACACUGCUUCCUUCUUCAUCCAUGAGUUUCGUACAUCUGGAGGAUUUGUGUAUCUUUAGUUGUAUAAUGGUCUGUGUUACCUCUCACAAUUGACUCUACCUCUCUCACUCUAUCACCCCCAGCAGUGGACUGUUUGUGCAACUUUCAACAUAUUUUAACACAACGUAAAUCUUAAUAUACAUGUCUGUGUGUGUGUGUACAUUCGUGUGAGUGUGUAUACAAGAGCACUGUAUACAUUAUUAUUAUUAUUAUUAUUAUUAUCAUUCAAUUGUUAUUCUUCAUUUUAAC
rnacentral:misc_RNA from 1 species